rnacentral:misc_RNA from 1 species
UGGAGACAAGUUGCAUCAAUGAAU